rnacentral:rRNA from 1 species
CUACGGGGGGCACCAGCGGGGAAUAUUGCACAAUGGAGGAAACUCUGAUGCAGCAACGCCGCGUGGAGGAUGACACUUUUCGGAGCGUAAACUCCUUUUAUAUAGGAAGAAGAUGACGGUACUAUAUGAAUAAGCGCCGGCUAACUCCGUGCCAGCAGCCGCGGUAAUACGGAGGGCGCAAGCGUUACUCGGAAUCACUGGGCGUAAAGAGCGUGUAGGCGGAUUAAAAAGUCAGAAGUGAAAUCCUAUAGCUUAACUAUAGAACUGCUUCUGAAACUCUUAAUCUAGAAUAUGGGAGAGGUAGAUGGAAUUGCUGGUGUAGGGGUAAAAUCCGUAGAGAUCAGAAGGAAUACCGAUUGCGAAGGCGAUCUACUAGAACAUUAUUGACGCUGAGACGCGAAAGCGUGGGGAGCAAACAGGAUUAGAUACCCGCGUAGUC